CAGCAGCCGCGGGAACACGUAGGUGGCAAGCGUUAUCCGGAAUUAUUGGGCGUAAAGCGCGCGCAGGCGGUUUCUUAAGUCUGAUGUGAAAGCCCACGGCUCAACCGUGGAGGGUCAUUGGAAACUGGGGAACUUGAGUGCAGAAGAGAAAAGCGGAAUUCCACGUGUAGCGGUGAAAUGCGUAGAGAUGUGGAGGAACACCAGUGGCGAAGGCGGCUUUUUGGUCUGUAACUGACGCUGAGGCGCGAAAGCGUGGGGAGCAAACAGAAUUAGAUACCCGUGUAGUCCCUGUCUCUUAUAC
rnacentral:rRNA from 1 species